rnacentral:other from 1 species
CGGUGGCUGCGGUUCCCGAGAGGGCACACAAACUCCAGCGACCUUAAUCGUCUCGAAGGGAGCUGUCCCUGCCAGGGCUCGAGGGCCCAGGCACACGGUGCCCACCUGGUUAUCCAGGUCGAGGGGGUUGAAUCGCCCGACCGGUCCUCGCGGCCCCGCC